rnacentral:snoRNA from 1 species
UUGUCCCUGUGUUAUUUGCUGAUUGAUUACCCAUAAUCAGUGAUUGUCAAACGGGACGCACAUCAAAUUCCAAUGUCUCGUUAUUGCCUUCUAAUCGCCCUUGCGGCUUUAAGGCACUUCCAUACAUUGGAAACAAAU